GACUUUUUUGGCUGUUAUGAAGAAAAUUGCUGCAAACAUUCAGGACCUGCUUGUGUUGGGACAGAAGAGUGGUGAGAAAGACCUCCUCGGAGGCCUGGGGCAUGUGUGAUGCUCCAGUGAAAACAACAGAAUCAGGGUGUGAGCAGGCAUCUCCGUGGAUUUGCCAGACGCAAUUUACCAAUCUUCUCAGCACAGACUCUUACAAAGACUGCAUUCCUGACUAUGUCACAGAGCCCAGGAGGGCAGGCAGAAAGCAUAAACCACCCGUGUGAGCAGAGGAAAGUGGCGUGGAGAAGUCGUGUAAGAACCCUUUAAUGGAUAUGUAAAUGGCAUCAGUGAGGGAGACUAAAUGGCAGUGGAGUGUUGCUUAGAGGCGUUUUAUGCAUUUUAUGAUGUUUUGUGCAUUUGAAAAUACUGGUAACAGGAAGAGAGGGACCCUAUCACAAUUCUGGUCUCUCAUUAUUUGUACAUAAUAAGCAUAUCCAUUAUCGUUAUUUAGACCACUUGCUAGUCUGAAUUUUUCCAGAAAUGAUGUUUUCCCAGAAUGUCUAGGACUUCCUCUCUCAUACUGAGUUGUUGAGCUUGGAGUCUGCUGCAGGUUAGAGUCUGAAGCCAAAUUUGUCACGAGGUGUCUCAGCCAGAAUACUGAGCUGCUCAGGGUCACCUGCCCAGGAAAGCAGCCAGGGAAUUCCUGGGCAUUGAGACCACACGGGAACGUGAGCAUCUAUUGCUAGAGAGCUGUGCAGUGUGGGACAGGCAGUCCGAAGAUUUUUGAAAGAAGCAGCUGCACACAUUGUCUGUUUCACCACUCAUGGGCAGGUGGAAAGCUGAGCCUGGAGAGGUAAAGUUGUUGGCUGGCCACAGGCAGGGGAGGGGGAACCUGCUCCCUUGGGCCUUUGUUGCUGUGCUGGGUGAAGGUUGUGGAGAAGCCUUGCCUCUAGAAAGAGAGGACAGGAAGAGAGCAGUGAUGCCUUAGGAAAAGAAAAAACUGCAAGUUACUGAGCACUGACCACGGGCCAACACCUGUCAGUGCUUGAUGUCAGCCACAGCCCUGAGGGACAAGGGCAUGGAGCCUGGGUCCGUGAAGUGAGCUCUCUCUCUAAGGUUGGAGGUGAAGCGAGGGGGCAUGUGCAGUGUGAACUGGGGGCUCUGACUGCAAGUGCUGUCCACCAUUGGAUCCAGGUGGCUGGGCAUACUCUCACUGUCCAGACGAUGACUGGAUUCGGGGGUCUUUUCUGGUGCCAGAUUUCCAGUGUGUGUCGGCAGCUCUGGUUUUUGUUGGUCCCUUAUCACCAAAGACCACUUCCCCUUUGCCCUUGUGGGGGAUGUGAAGGGUGGCCCUGAAUCACGCACUUCCACUUCCUCUGGUCUUCGCUGGAGCUCUGAAAAGGUGUGAACACCAAACACUACUAUUCUGGGCUGAUGGCGUUCAAUCUGGCCUUCUGUGCACCUGGAGCAUGGGCAGCUCAUCUUGGUCUCGCUGAUGGCACUGUUUUCCAGUGGCUGAAGGAGCAGGUGAUGCUCUGUUUUGCAUGUUCUGUGCUUUCUGCAGACUCCCCUGGUCACACUUGGGCCUGGGAGCUGCAUGGUCACCCAGACAGGGCAUGUCUCAGCCUGCCAGCCUUGGAAGGAAACAUCCCCAACCCAUCAGUGAGUCCUUGCCGCAUCCUAUGACCUUCCGGGUCCCAGGGCCCAGAGCACACCUGCCUCUCAUGAGACUUUCCUCAGCUGGGAUUUAAGUCUGAAUUGCUUAAGAGGAAAGGAGCAGGUCCACAAGGACUCAGAGGCUACAGCAAGUGUCCAGUGAAGCUGUCACAUGUGAUUAAGAAGAGAAAGAAGCCUGUCCCAUGUUCCGGGAUGGACUGGUCUGGCUGCUUAAGGCAGCUACGCUGAAUAAAAUGAUAUGACAAUGCCCCAUGUCUUGAAACUUCAGCUUCCUCCUCUUCAUCCGGGAGCCUCCACCCUGGUCUGAAGCUGUCCCUUCUAUCCUAAGGCCUGCCUUGCCUUCAGAACCCAUGGUCUGUCAGGCCUCCCGGUUCCUCAUUCCCCCAGAUAGAGGUGUGAGGGAGGAGCUCUUCCCACCUUCUGCAGACAGGCAGACUGAGGCUUGAGCAUCUGUGGCUUGCUUUUGAGGACACAAGGGAGGUGGGGGGCCUAGCUGGAGCCAGGUCUUUAGAUCACGGCUCUGGGCUUUCCGCCCACCUCACCCUGACUCCUCGUCUAGCCUCAUCCCCGAUUUCCCCAUUAGACACCUGCUCUCUACCAGGAGACCAAGCAGGAAGGUUUCCUUAGCACCCUUGGGAAAUCUUCUGUUCUUGGGGUACAUUUGGAGUGAUUUCCAGAACGACACCAUCCCCUACCUCCUGAUGUCCUCACCCAGGUGUCCCACAGGCAUGUCUGUCCUUCCCUGCCCAAAAGGGACCCCACCAUCUCCCCCAUCAACAGCUCUUCCCUUUAUUAGACCCCCACCUCUAACCCAACACCCUGAUCAGAGCCUGCUGCUGAGCUUAUCCACACACCUGCCUUCCAGUGGCCUCUCCUUCCUCCCAGCUCUCAUCCCUCCCUUCUCUUCACUCUUGCCACGCCUCAGGCACUGAUCGUUUCUUACCAUGACCAUUGAAACUAUCUCGGACGGGUCCCCCGCUGUGGCAUCCCCGCUCCACGUGGCCCUGGGUGCCUUGCCCUCUCUCACUCCCAGUCUUAGGAACCUAUUCUGGUAACGUGAGCGAUGGGAGUGCACCGGAGUGUGUGAGUUUGCCGGUGGAUUUGCAGAGGGCUGGCGAGCCAGGCCUGGAGCUGGCAGGCGUGAGGGGCUCCCUGGAAAAGACGAACCCAUCUCCCCCACUUCGCUGUGUCACACCAGGUGUCCACUAGAGUUGCCAACUGUGACAGUGUCCGGAGGUUCUCUGGCUGGGGCUCUGAAAGAGACUGACAAAGGCAGAUUAACGAGAGAAAAACAGACACGAGUUUAUUACCACGUGCAUCACGCACACCCAUGGGAACGUCCGCAGUGAGUAACUCCAAGGGGCGGCCAGAGCUCGAGCUUUCAUAGCACCUCACAAGAGAAUGCUUGUUUAGAGAAGUGACAAGACAGAGGAGAAGGGCUUGAGUUUCUGGGGAGGCGCAGGGCGGGAAGGCCACCCUACGGGGAGCUGAGGGAAGGGAAGGGCUUCAGUGGGACCAGGACGUGCUGUGCAGAUUCCUCUGGUGC
rnacentral:lncRNA from 1 species